CAGUGAAAUAUUUAAACAGCUGCGGUAUUUUAACUGUACUAAGGUAGCAUAAUAAUUUGCCUUAUAAAUUGAGGCUAGAAUGAAGGGUUUGACGAAGGUUUAACUGUCUCUAUUUUAUUUAAUAGAAUUUAAUUUUUAUAGUGAAAAAGCUUAAAUAUUUUAAAGGGAAGAGAAGACCCUAUUGAGCUUUAAUUUUAUAUGAUUAUAAUAAUAAUAUUGUAGUAAAUAGGUAAAUUUUAAUUGGGGUGAUUAAGGAAUAAAAUAUAAUUGAUAAGUAACUUCCUUAAGAAGAAUACUGUUAGGUUAAGUAACCAAUAUAUAUUGCUUGUAGAAAGUUACCAUAGGGAUAACAGCGUAAUUUAUUUAGAGAGUUCUAAUUGAUAAAUAAGAUUGCGACCUCGAUGUUGGAUUAAAGUAACCUUAAGGUGCAGAAGCUUUUAUUGGUAAAUCUGUUCGAUUUUUAAAACUUUACGUGAUCUGAGUUCAGACCGGA
rnacentral:rRNA from 1 species